rnacentral:rRNA from 1 species
GACGAAGGGGGCUAGCGUUGUUCGGAAUUACUGGGCGUAAAGCGAGUGUAGGUGGUUGUCCAAGUUGGAUGUGAAAGCCUUGAGCUCAACUCAAGAAAUGCAUUCAGGACUGGGCGGCUAGAGGACCGGAGAGGAUAGUGGAACUCCCAGUGUAGUGGUGAAAUACGUAGAGAUUGGGAAGAACACCAGUGGCGAAGGCGGCUAUCUGGACGGUUUCUGACACUAAGACUCGAAAGCGUGGGGAGCAAACAGG